UGCCAGCAGCCGCGGUAAUACGGAGGGUGCAAGCGUUAAUCGGAAUUACUGGGCGUAAAGCGCGCGUAGGCGGUUCGUUAAGUCAGAUGUGAAAGCCCCGGGCUCAACCUGGGAACUGCAUUCGAUACUGGCGAGCUAGAGUAUGUUAGAGGAAAGUGGAAUUCCGGGUGUAGCGGUGAAAUGCGUAGAUAUCCGAGAGAACACCGAUGGCGAAGGCAGCUUUCUGGCUGGUUCCUGUCGCUGAGACGCGAAAGCUAGGGUAGCGAACGGGAUUAGAUA
rnacentral:rRNA from 1 species